rnacentral:rRNA from 1 species
GAUGAACGCUAGCUACAGGCUUAACACAUGCAAGUCGCGGGACCGGCGCACGGGUGAGUAACGCGUAUCCAACCUGCCCUCCACCACGGGAUAACGCGGCGCGAGUCGGACUACUACCGAAUGGUGAAGGAUGGGGAUGCGUCCGAUUAGGUUGACGGCGGGGUAACGGCCCACCGUGGCUACGAUCGGUAGGGGUUCUGCGAGGAAGUUCCCCCACACUGGAACUGAGACACGGUCCAGACUCCUACGGGAGGCAGCAGUGAGGAAUAUUGGUCAAUGGGCGUAAGCCUGAACCAGCCAAGUAGCGUGCAGGACGACGGCCUAUGGGUUGUAAACUGCUUUUAUGCGGGGAUAGGUACCGCAUGAAUAAGGACCGGCUAAUUCCGUGCCAGCAGCCGCGGUAAUAC